CCUACGGGUGGCAGCAGUGAGGAAUAUUGGUCAAUGGACGCAAGUCUGAACCAGCCAAGUAGCGUGCAGGAUGACGGCCCUCCGGGUUGUAAACUGCUUUUAGUUGGGAAUAAAAGGGGGCUCGUGAGCCCCGUAUUGUAUGUAUCAUCAGAAAAAGGAACGGCGAAGUCGGUGCCAGCAGCCGCGGUAAUACGGAAGGUCCGGGCGUUAUCCGGAUUUAUUGGGUUUAAAGGGAGCGUAGGCCGGCUUUUAAGUCAGCUGCGAACGUCCGCGGCUCACGCGGUGAAUUGCAGUUGAUACUGGAGGCCUUGAGUGCAAACAGGGAUGCCGGAAUUCAUGGUGUAGCGGUGAAAUGCUUAGAUAUCAUGAAGAACUCCGAUCGCGAAGGCAAGUGUCCGGGGUGCAACUGACGCUGAGGCUCGAAAGUGCGGGUAUCAAACAGGAUUAGAUACCCGAGUAGUC
rnacentral:rRNA from 1 species